UUUACCAUUUUCAUUCAAGCAGCUGCAAACAAUUAGGUUAGAAAAGAAAUCAGCCAGGAGAUGCAGAUGCUAAUUACUUCGAGUUCCUACAAUAACGAGAGUGGAUCUGUGGUGUUUUGAAGUCGAGUUUCAAGCCAAUUGAUUUGAUUUUUCUCAACAAAAACGAAUAUAUUUGGGGGUUUUGAAAGCAAUUGAAUUGAAAUGGAAUCUGAUAUUGGUAUUACAUACGCCAAUUCUUAUCUUCAAUUUGCUAGAAUUUUUCUGCUCAUCAGUUUGGUAACAAUGGAAGUCCAGUCCGAAGGUUAAGUGAUGGUGUCUGAGAGGUUUAUGCUGUUAAGGGUGUCUUUAAACAGGUCAGGGCAAAGUGGCGUCCAGAAGCUGCACAAAGGAGUUUAACGAUACACUUAAAUAUAUAGACAACAUACGUUCAAAAGCAGAGCCAUAUAGAAUUUGCAGAAUAGUUCCCCCCUCUUCAUGGAGACCUCACUGCCCUCUUAAAGAAAAUAGUGUAUGGGAAAAAUCUUAAUUUUUCACUCGAAACUUGCAUAUUAAGGCUGACUUUCUUGAUGUGAUACAUGUUAGGCUUAUAAUAAGAGCACCUUGGAUGCCAUACAUUUACAACUCUUCAAGGUUAACAUAGAAGUCAGUAUUAUGGAGGAAGUAGCAGAUCUCAUCAAGGUUCAGUGGUUCUUCAUCUCCUUCUACAAGUGGUUGUUUCAGAGGAAUUAAUUGCAGAACUUUUCAUCAAUCCAGUGGUGGUGGUGAUUCAACAGAUAUUGAUGUGCAGAUCACUUCGACUCGCACGUAGUGGAAGAAAGUUGAAAGAAGAAGUGAAGUCAGGUACAAAAUUUGAGCUAUGUCCCUCAUGUUCAAUAUUUACCAGUAUGCUACUCCAUGAGUCGGUAGACUCAACUGACUAGGAAGAUACAACUACAUCCGGUUUGCACCUAGAGGCCAUGGAAACGUCCAUAUGGUGUUGGUCUGCUUGUUGGAGGGUUGGAUGAAUCAGGAGCACACCUCUACUAGAAUUUCCCUAGUGGGAACUACUUCGAAUACCAGGCCUUUGCUAUUGGGGCUCGCUCACAAUCUGCUAAAACUUAUUUGGAACGAAAACUUGAGUCCUUUGCCAACUCUACCCGUGAUGAUGUGAUCAAAGAUGUACUCUUUGCAAUCAAGGAAACUUUACAAGGAGAGAAGCUAACAAGAUCAAUAUGCACUGUUGUUGUUGUUGGUCUUGAAAAGGAUUUCUACAUUUUGGAUCAGGAAACUAUACAAGAGUUUAUCGAGUUGUUAGAGAUAAGGGAAGAGGCGCCCGUGCAAGAAGAAGCUGAAGUGCCUCCUCCAGCUCCAAUGGACAUUGGAGAUCUGUAAGAGAAGCAGUUGCAUUGCUUUGAAGUGGUGCAUUGCGUUUCUUCGAUUAUACAUAAAUGUUUAUAGGUAGAAACUGAACUUGGCUGACAGUGUUAGUAAUGGAGAUCUUUGUUCAAUGCACACUUAGUGUCUCUUUCUUUG